UACAGAGGUCCCAAGCGUUGUUCGGAUUCACUGGGCGUAAAGGGUGCGUAGGCGGUCGGGUAAGUCUGAUGUGAAAUCUCACAGCUUAACUGUGAAACUGCAUUGGAUACUAUUCGGCUUGAGAGUUGGAGGGGGGACUGGAAUUCUUGGCGUAGCAGUGAAAUGCGUAGACAUCAAGAGGAACACCAGUGGCGAAGGCGAGUCCCUGGACAACUUCUGACGCUGAGGCACGAAAGCUAGGGGAGCAAACAGG
rnacentral:rRNA from 1 species